AACGAACGCUGGCGGGAGGAGGAACACAUGCAAGUCGAACGAGACCUUCGGGUCUAGUGGCGCACGGGUGCGUAACGCGUGGGAACCUGCCCUUAGGUUCGGAAUAACUCCCCGAAAGGGGUGCUAAUACCGGAUAAUGUCUUCGGACCAAAGAUUUAUCGCCUUUGGAUGGGCCCGCGUUGGAUUAGCUCGUUGGUAGGGUAAAAGCCUACCAAGGCGACGAUCCAUAGCUGGUCUGAGAGGAUGAUCAGCCACACUGGGACUGAGACACGGCCCAGACUCCUACGGGAGGCAGCAGUGGGGAAUAUUGGACAAUGGGCGAAAGCCUGAUCCAGCAAUGCCGCGUGAGUGAUGAAGGCCUUAGGGUUGUAAAGCUCUUUUACCCGGGAUGAUAAUGACAGUACCGGGAGAAUAAGCUCCGGCUAACUCCGUG
rnacentral:rRNA from 1 species